UCUCACCCCCUAUAAUUCAUUCAUCCAUAUUUUAUUCAUAUGCUUCAACCGUUUUUGUAAAAAAUCUAUAUUUCAAACUACUUGACUUGAAAUUAUAUAUUUGAAAUGCUUAUAAUUUAAAUUGAAUAGUUUUAUUCUUAUAUUCAUUUAAGUACAUAAACUAUAAUAUUAUAAUUUAAUUAUCAAACGGCUAUAUUCUCAACGGCUAUAUUUUCAACGGAUAUAUUUCUUGGUCUACAUAUAUGUGGAGCUCUGAAGCCAUUGUCCAUUCACUCUCCACCACAUCUCUUAGUCCAUUCACUCUCUACCACAUCUCUCAGCCUCCUCUCACAAAAAUGAGUUGUAGCUUACUUUGGCAAUACAUGAGUUCGUCGUCGUCGUCGUCGUCGUCGUCGGAGGAGGAGGAGGAGGAGGAGCAUGAAGAUGACGGCCAUGAACUAAUGGUUGCCACGGCGGCAAUAGUUCUCGACGCGAACACGCGGUUCAAUGCUCGACGCCGUCGCGGUUCAGUGCCGGGUUGUCAGGUAAUUAACCGUGAUACGGCAGGUGGGCAUGCUAGAUUAUUCGAAGACUACUUCGCGCAGCAUCCUGUCUAUGGCGCCUCGUAUUUCCGCCGAAGGUAAGCAAUGCGUACAUAUGGUUUUUACUUGCAUUUAUAUUGUUCCUCUAGUGUUCAACUAAUUACCUUUGUUUUCACAGGUUUUGAAUGUCUCGGCCGUUGUUUUUCCGCAUAGUGAAAGCUGUGCGGGAAGACGAUAGCUAUUUUGUGCCGAAAAGAAAUGCUGAUGGAAAAUUUGGGUUAUCAUCUCUUCAGAAGGCUACCGCAAUGUUCCGAAUGUUGACUUAUGGUGUAGCAUCGGAUGCUACAGAUGAGUACGUUCGGAUUGGAGGAAGUACUCCUUUGAAAAGUAUGAAAACAUUUGUUAGAGCUAUUGUUGAAGUUUCGGAGAUGAGUAUCUUAGAUCUCCAAAUGAAGCCGAUACCGCUAGAUUGCUUGCAAUUGGAGAGAGCAGAGAGUUCCAUGGAAUGCUAGGGAGCAUCGACUGCAUGCAUUGGUGGUGGAAAAAUUGCCCUUCAUCAUGGCAAGGUAUGUAGUGCAUGAGCCCACAAUCAUUCUAGAAGCUGUUGCUUCACAAGAUCUUUGGAUUUGGCAUGCCUUCUUUGGUUUACCUGGCUCUCUUAAUGACAUCAAUGUUCUUCACCGUUCCCCGAUCUUUGCAAGGCUAGCAGAAGUGCAAGCUCCACAAGUUAAUUUUACAGUAAAUGAUAACAAUUAUACAAUGGGGUACUACCUUGCCGAUGGCAUAUACCCGCAGUGGGCAACAUUGGUGAAGACAAUACCCUCUCCACUAGGGCAGAAGAAUAAACAUUUUGCAAAAUGUCAAGAAGCACAUAGGAAGGAUGUGGAACGAGCAUUUGGAGUGCUUCAAGCUCGUUUUGCAAUUGUUCAUGGACCAGCAAGACUGUGGGAUCAAGAAGUACUCCAUGAUAUCAUCAUAGCUUGUGUUAUCAUGCAUAACAUGAUAGUUGAAGACGGGUGAGAUGAAGGUCCGCAAGACUACAAUUACGACAACAUGGGAGAAAAGGUUAUCCCUCUCAUGCACAAACAGCUGAAUUCUCGAACUUAAUUCAAAAUCAUCUUGACAUCCGCAACGCACAAGUCUACUCUCAACUAAAGGAUGACCUGGUUGAGCACCUAUGGCAAAUUUAUGGGGCAAUGUAGUGUGCAAUGUCGUAUGUAGUUAGAGUUAGGAUCUAAGUCGGAAAGGUUUUGUCCCGAAGAAGGUUACCUUGCCGACUUGAUCUAUUUAGCAUGUACUAUUUUUACAUUAUGGAGAGGUGUAAUAUAUAUUAUGUAUGGUACUGUAUGCAACUACUUUAACGAAUUAUGCCAUACUCAAAUAUUUAAUACAACAACAUAGUCCAUACUCAAAUAUUUAAUACAACAACACAGUCCAUACUCAAAUAAUGCAUAGAAUAGCAUAGUCCAUACUCAAAUAGUGCAUAGAACACCAUAGUCCAUACUCAAAUAGUUAAUACAACAACAUACUCAAAUUGAUCUUUUAGAUCGUCGGUCAAUGAUAUCACGCCGUAGCAUCUUGUAGUAUUCUUUUUGGUCAUCAUCCAACGAACUAAGAUCCUUAUUUAUUAUCUCCAUUUCCAUCUUCCUUUCGUCAAAUUCAUAGUUCCUUUUCUCCAUUGCAAGUGCUCCAACAUAACGCUUUUCCUUUGCAUCCUCUCUUGCUUGUCUUGCUGUUUCUCUUGCCAUCUCUCUUUCUUGUCUUGCUGUUUCUCUUGCCAUCUCCAUCUCUGUCCUCUUUGAGAACUCAACAUCCAAAGCCAUCACAACAUUACUAUCUUCUAAAGAGGUAACAUUUUUACCUCGACGUUGCCGUUCUUUCUCCGCCUUCUUCCCAAUAGGUCUCUUCAUGUGAUCCGCUUUGACAGGAGAUGUAGUUUCAAAGUCAUCAAGAUGGAUCGUGUUGGCUUCUUGAGUAGACAUGUUUGGACUUGCAUUGGAGCUUGACUUCUGCUUUUUAUUACUUUGAGAUGACCUAUCAACUUGAGCUAACCACUUUUGUUCGAAACGCAACAUGUUCCAACAAUGCAUUAGCACAAACCCUUUAUUGGUCUUAUCUUGUGACUUGAACAAUUUGAGAGCAUCAACAAUCUGCACAAGUGAACAUGUCUCGGUAUAUUUGCACCUAACAUAUGAAUAUACAAUGAAAUUAAACAACUAGGUGAACUACCUUGUCUUGCUCUGUCUUCCCGCUUUCGCGCCUAUGCGUAAUUUGCUCAUAACAUCCACAAAACCUACCCACUUGUUCUUUCACAGCGGACCAACGAUGCGAUAAGGAAUUGACAUUGUGAUCACUUCCUUCUGGCUUGUGGGAUUCAUACUCCUCAUGAAUCCUAUUCCAAUAAGUGGCAUUCUUUUGUUCAGUACCUACUAUUGGAUCCAUACUAGCAUGCAACCAUGCAACCACCAAAACUUCAUCUUCUUUAUCGGUGAAAUUUCCUUUCCUCUUGUUAUUUGCUUUUACUGGAGGAGUAGGAACUUCAGCAUGUAUUGGUGUAUGAUCUGCUGCGUACAAACCCAGAGGACUACUCAAAUUUUGGCCCCAAGCUUCUUCGUUGUAUCCUUCACUCAACAUAUUUGUGUACAAACCCAUAGGAGAACUGUGAUCAUCCAUCAAGUGUAUGAACUGCUACCAUGAAAGAAAUUAUAAGCAAUUUAGUCACAAUUGUAUGAUCUAAUCUCAUGAAAGAACUACUAAAUUGAUCUACCAAUUUAACCUCUUCUCUCUUCUCUCUUCUCUCUUCUUUCUUCUUUCUCAUCUCUCUGCUAUCUCUUUCUCUCCUCUCUGUUCUGCCAAAGCCCCCGACCUCACCUCCCCUCCUCUCUGGCUCUCCAUUCUGCCCGCGCGCCCCCGACCCGCCCAGCACCGCCGCCGGCCUCCCCAUCUCGCCCAGCACCGCCUCCAGCUUUCGCAUCUCGCCCAGCACCGCCGCCUCCCCAUGUCCCCCAUCCCGCCCAGCACCGUUCCCGGCCUCAACAUCUCGCCCAGCAGCGCCUCCCCAUCCCGCCCAGCACUGCCGCCAGCCUCCCCCAUCUCGCCCGCCACUGCCGCGACCCGUCCCCGACCCAUCCUCGGCCGGUGACGCCUGCCUCCCCAUCGGCCAAAAACGCGAAUCGAGGGAGAGAAGGGAGGGAAGGAGGACGAACCUUGGCGCGAAUCGGAGCUGGCCGUUGAGAUCCUUGCUUCCGGGAGCCCCUAGCCGGCACCUCAGUUUGGGUCGUUGGGAGGGCGAUUUGGGGGCGCCCUCAGUUUCGCGAGGAAGAUAGGGAGACUGCUGGAUGCAUUUUUUUUUUUGCUAGAAAACCUAUAUUUGAGGAUAGGGGAUGAAGUAGGAGCUCUCUCGGUGAUGCUCUAAUCCUUGAAAAACGAGGCGAAGCUAAGUUAGCCAACAAAAACAUAGCAAACAAUAGAGUAUAAGGAAAGGUGGCACAUAUGUUACCGGAGGUGGCACUGUCCAGUCAGAACAUGCCAAAACUUUAAAUGGAGUAAAAGUCCAUGGAAAGCUUCUUAAAUUGGGUAAUGGAAAGCUUCUUAAAUUGGGUAAUCCUGAGAACAUUAUGCUAGAUAAGAAAAAAGGUGUCGUAAUGUCUGAUACAGAUGGUAAAAUAAAUUAAAAUACAUGCUUCAAAAAGAUAAACGAGAGUAGUGCAUGGAAACACUAAGCUCACACUAGAUUUAAACUAUCACCGAGCGCCGGCUAGUCAAGUUUUAUGUAUCCAAUUUUGUGUAUGCUGUAAAAGUUGUGCACAUUUUGUUACAGAACGCAUAUCUUGUCUCUUUUCGACCCAUAUUUCAUCUGGGUAGUCAAUAUAUCGGUAAGCUUUUUUUUUUGCGAAAAAUAUAUCGGUAAGCUGCUUGCGUUGUUUUCAAUGGAGACAAUUUGUCUUCACGGUGGACAUAUCUAUAAAUAUCUUGCAUUGUUCAAAGAACAUUGAGUUUGACCAUUCAGUGCCAAAAGCGCCCAUAAUUAAACAAGAAUGGUUGGAGCAUCCUAUUCUUCUCUCAUUUUGCGGCCCUCUCUCCUUCUCCUCACCUCACUGGCGUUCGACGAGGCAACGCUAGGCGGCAGAGGGGCUGGCGGCUCCGCCACGUCGUUGCCUGACAUGUGGGCCCAAAGUCUAGGUGGCAGUCACGUCAUGCGGCCGGAGCUGCGCAUACAGGCGAGAAAGCUGGGAUAAACCACUUAACAAAUAAUGAUGACCCAAACGUGCAUUUUCAAAGAUCAGGGAUCUACUUGACACCUUCGUAAAAGAAUAGGGACAUCGGAUGCAUUUUAUUCUUUUACAAUUUACGCAGCAAGUACCUUCGUUCUAAAAUAUAGGGUGUACCGUAAAACUCUUGACUGUCAAAUUUUCUAUACUUUUUCAUGGUUGUCCAGAAAAAAUAUUAAUGUGUACUAUUUAAAUAUAUUUUAUCAUGCUUGUUGAUGAAUAAACUAUGUAAAUAUAAUUUAUUAUAUCUAGUAUUUUUUAUUCGGGGCUUUAAAUGUUAUUUUUCUCUAUGAAUUUGAUCAAAUUUGUUAAAUUUUAAUAGUCAAUGAAAAUUAUACACCUUAUAUAUAUUUGUAACAGAGAGAGUAUUAAAAUCACUAUGACGUCGAACUCAUGGAUCACGGCACCAGCUACAGUGACGCCGAUGUUAGUUUAUCCGGUGCAUCAUGAGCGCCAUUUAGCGCUAACCCGCGUUCCGGCCCCAUUUUCCUUAGCACCGACCCCAAGGGAUCAGAGAUUCAGAGAUAAAAGGAAAAUUUAGAAGAGACUAUCUGUUCAAUUAGAUUUCAAUCAAGGUCACUUAGGACAAAAGAUACGGCAGCGACAUGGGCGAGCGCAGAGGUGGACGCGAAUGGAAGCAAGAACCCGUGCGGUCGACACCACCCAGCCUGUGCGUGUGUGGAUUUUCGGUUUGUUGUGAAAGAUCACGACGUCUUUGACCAUUGACCGGAGAACAAAAUCCGGCCGCUUAAGCCCAGAAUAAUUCCAAAAGGGAAGCGCUUGCAUUUUCCGUCGGGGACACAGUGGGGGCGAGGCGGAAAGGAAAAUGAGCGCGCGCCCAAAGCAGCCCCGGAAAGCGACCCCGCACCCCGCGCCGGACGUCACCGAUCAUUUCCCUCCCUUUGACUGCCCCCACUUUGUCUUUGAAUGCUCCUUCUUUUCUUGUGUUCCACACGCUCUUUGCUAUGGCAGAUAAGCACCCGAGGAUCUCCAAAAUUGCAUGUGGACCAGUUGGAAAAUCUUGCAAGUUGUUUUUGGAGGUUUCUCAAGACAAUGUUGACUUUUGGAGGAAGAACAACUGCUUCCGUAAAAGAGUUGAAGAACAAUGAGCAGCGUUCCAGUAGUAUGUUGAAAAACAUUUCCAAGGAAGCAAGGAAUGAAGGAAAGAAACGAAAAAAAGGCGUUUGGAAAAAUUGCGACCACCAGGGAGCAUUUUGCACGAGCACGGCAGACCAGGGCGCUCGGCGCAAAGGACACUCCACCACCACCACUUCCAUUUCCAUAUACCACCACCCCCACCAUCUUCCCCAGCCUUCCUCCCCUUUCUGCUGCAUUCCCUGCUCCACAAGGAAAAGGAUUGCUAGCCUAGGAGCCAUGGUGAGGAAGGAGACGAGCACGAGCAUGAGGCUCCCGCCUCAGCACCAGGGGCUGGAGGUCAAGAUCCCGAGCUUCUUCCGGUGCCCGAUCUCGCUGGACGUCAUGCGGUCGCCGGUGAGCCUCUGCACGGGCGUCACGUACGACCGCGCCUCCAUACAGCGGUGGCUCGACUCCGGCCACACCACCUGCCCGGCCACCAUGCUCCCGCUCCCCUCCACGGAUCUCGUCCCCAACCUCACACUCCGCAGCCUCAUCGCCCACUGGUCCGCCUCCGCCGCCUCCUGCUCCCCCGCCGCGGCCGGAUCCGUCGCCUUCUUCGCCGCCGGCCCUUCCCCCGCGGGGCUCGUCCGCCAGGUCGCUUCCUCCCUCGGCGGCGGCGCCGACCCUUCCCCCGCGCUCUGCGAGCUCGCGGCCUAUCUCUCCGACGACGACGUCGACGAGUUCGAGAAGAACGCGCUCGUGGGCGCCGGCCGCGCCGCGGAGACCGUCGCGUCCGUGCUCAGACGGAAAGGGGAUCAGAUCGUGAGCGUCGAGGGCGCCGAGGCUGCCGUGAGCGUACUCGCCGCGAUCGUCGCGCUGGACGGCAUCGAGGACGCGAACAAGAGGCGCGUCGCCACGGGCCUCGCCGUGGACGCGGCGGCCUCGGCCGCAUCGCUGGCGCGCGUCCUGCGUGGCGGGAGCGGCCUCGAGGCAAGGAUCGACGCGGCGCGGCUCGCGGGUUUCUUGCUGGACAAUGCCGACGCCGACGCGAAGGCGGCCGUGGCCGAAUCGUCCCAGCUGGUGGCCGAGCUGAUACGGCUCAUCGGGCCCGUCGACGAGAAAGGCAGCCUGGACAAGAAGGCCAUGGGCACCGGCCUCUCGUGCCUGGCCACGAUCUCAGGGCUACGCCGCGCGGCGCGCGCCGAGAUGGUGCGCCUCGGCGCCGUCUCGGCCGCGGUGCGCGCGCUCCACGCCACGGCGGAGCCCGGCGCGUCGGCCAAGGCGCUCCGGAUCCUCGAGUCCGCCGUGGGCUGCGCCGAGGGCCGCGCGGAGCUGUGCAAGGACGCGGAGGAGACCGUCCCUGCCGUGCUCGACAAGAUGAUGAAGUCCGGCCGCGACGGCGCCGAGGCCGCGGUGGCCGUGCUCUGGGCGGUGUGCCACAAGUACAAGGACCGCAGGGCCGCGGACGCCGCCGCGGCGUCCGAGGGCGGGCUGACGAGGCUGCUCCUGCUGCUGCAGAGCGGGUGCUCGCCGCCGGCCAGGCAGAUGGCCGUGGAGCUGCUCAAGAUAUACAAGGUGAACGCCAAAAGCUGCCUCGCCGGCUACGACUCCAAGACCACCCACAUCAUGCCGUUCUGACCCAAGCUAAACGAAUGGCUUGCAAGCUCGGAACAGAACAGGGGAUAAACUUGUUAUUCAUGUUUUCUUUGAUUUGUUUAAACUGUAAGUUGAUAGAGAAAGAGAAGAAUUGAUUCGUGAAGAAGAGAAAAAAUAUGUACAUUGGUAGAGUUUUGACAGAAGAAUAAUAAGUAUGAAAGUAAAUGGAGAUUGACAGCCAGAGAUAUACCAUUCGUGUGCCAAAACAUUUCAGGCGCUCACAGGAGUUCUGGAUUGAUAAUCUUCCAACUUCAUGCAAUCGACACGAGUUCUGGAUUGAUAAGCUUCCAACUUCAUGCAACAAGCGUGCACAUACGUAGUCCGCAGUCAUACUAAUCAUUCCCAUAGUAUGCGUCUGUAACACAAACUUCUCAGAAUUCACAAGUGACAUACUCUGCAGUCCUACUGACUUCAUGGACAGAGGAGCAUUUGCUCAUGGCUUAUCAGGUACACUAACCAGCUAGUUCCAUCAUGCUAAUGAUUCAAGAGUGUCGUUGGUUGGGGGUAGAUUACUGAUUACACAUCCGUAGCUUGAAAGCAACGCGCGUGCUCAUGAGUCAUGACAGAGGAUAAGCCUGAUCGAACAUCUCCACGUUGGCAUCCGAUCGAAGUCCCUGCUCGAUUUGACCCAUCUAGGAUCAUGUCCAGUUCACUCCACUCCACCCACAUGCUAGGAGGAAAGCAAAACGUCCCAAAGAUGCUUGAUCAACGGACUGGUCUCUGAGUAAACAGCUCGCUUGGCGUGUUAAGAAAACAAAGUAAUUCAGCACUGAAAAUCGUGCGUUCCGAUCGACAAACCGCGGCAGAACCCAAAGCAAGUUCUCCUUUUACGGGAGUUUUUCUUUUCCGCUGCAAGCGGGAUCGAAUCGACGAACCGUGGAAAGAUCUUCACGACCCAAAGGAUCCACGACUGCGAGCCUAACUUAAAGUUCGCCCUGCGUGCACGGUCGGUCGCCCACGGCCCCCCACCACAUACAACUGUGCACCAAAUUGCACAGCUAGCCGUCUCCUUGUCUUUAUAAAGCUAGCCGGGCAAACUUUUCCUGAUCUGUAUUUAGGCCCGAGUCAGGGCCGAACAUCGAAGCCAUCACGAGUCAAUGCCGUAUUAAUCGUUUAGGUGAUACGGGCAGUGGCGCUAGCGUUUAGUAGGCGAUACGGGGGGCAGUGGCGGUAGUUGACUGGCGAGGACGGAAGAUCCUUUUGGGGUUCUUAAUUAAUCAGAGACGGAGAUUAAGAAGUCGAGAAAGAAGAGCCGUAAAGGGUGGUGUGGGACAGUGGGAGAGAAGGCUAGUGGUGUUCAUUGUCCACGGUAGCUCCAUUUUAUUGACCGCGCAAGACGAUAUACGUGGAUGCCUACCCAAGUUGGCCGCCACUGCUUACUCGCUACGCAUUUUGACGCAAGACAGAAGUACGAUUCAGACGUGGCUGUUGACGAUGCUUCUUCUGGGAUAAUCAAGCGCCACUACGUCGUCCGGUCGGUGGCGCACUCCGGUGGUGCAGGACGCCGCCCCGAUGGCCGACGCCCGCGCUCUCACGGAUCGCGGCCAGAUCAGGCCCUGAUUCAGGAGGUGGCUCCGUCUCCGACACAGGGAUUGGCACCAUUGUCCCGUGCUCAAGGUAGAUGAACCCAGAACCCCCAACAUGGACCUGGAUCCUGAUCUGGCUGAUUCCAUUCCUUCCUAUUCUAUGCUAGGUAUUAUUAUGUUAAGGCUAAUUGGAGGAAUUGUAUACAUGCCAUACUUGCAAAAACAUUGAUAAACCACAAAUCGUCCAAAUGAUUAGCAUAAUGUUAAACUAGUGAGAUUGAUUUGCAAUCAAUUGAUGUUUUCAUAAUUGAUUGAAAUCUUUCCAAAUUGGUCUUUGCUUCCUAGGUGGACUACACAUAUUGGUCCUACGUGGACAACAAAUUUGAUGUUUCAUGCUAGUCCAACAAAUUUAUCCCUAACUAAGUCUUGACCGUUGAAGUAAGAUUUGAUUGUUAAAAUAAUCUGGAUGACAUGGAUCAACGCUGUGCUUCAAUUUGGUACCCCUCAAUGUCCCAGGUGACGCGCGGAAAACAUCUUUGCUUCCGAACUACUGCCUCCGUCCCAAUAUAUGAUGCAUGCACGCGUCCCAAGAUCAUCAAUUUAACUACCAAAAUAUAAAUUAUAUGACAUAAAAACAUAUCAUUAGAAAGUUUAUUUGAUUACGAAUCUAAUGAUAUUUUUUUUUAUGAAAUACUCCCUCCAUUUCAUAAUUCUUGUUGAAAUAUUAAAUGUAUCUAGACACUUUUUAGAAAUAGAUACAUCCAUUUUUGAACAAAUUUGAGACAAGAAUUAUGAAACGGAGUGAGUAUGAUUUAGAUUUUGCUAGUUAAAUUUGUAAUCUUGGUAUGCGUGCGUGCCUCGUAUAUUGGGACGGAGAAACUAUCAAUUAGGCAUGAAAAAUAUUCUUCUCAAGAACAGAUUAUACAAAAUACUAAAACCGAGAAACUUUUCCUAAAUACUUGCGCUGAUCAAUUAGCUGUGCUAAUCGGCCACGUUGAUCAAUUCCUAAAUACUUGCGCUGAUCGUACGAACACAUGAAGGAAUCGACAUUGAUCCAUAACGGAAAGAAAAAAAAAAUCAGCAAACAAGGGAAAUGGUUGUCCGGAGCUGGUUUAUGUGCCAAACACAUUUAUGAGAUGGAGUGGAGCUGAGAUGAAGGAAAGUUUAGAGGCGGAAUGAAGUUAGAUAUUGGAGCGGAACUUAGAUGGAGUGAAGCCCUCCCAAACGGACACUUAGUGUCUUAGUAUUAGCUUUUGGUUCUCAUAAGCCAAUAACCCAACCAAACACUUCGUUCUUAUGAACUCCAGGAACUGAAUAAUGGGCCUCAGGUUACUCUAAGAAAAACAAAAUGGGCCUGUGUCGAAAAGCAAUAAUGGGCCUCAGGUCAAACACUAGUAUAGUACAGCAAACCAAUAGAUUGAUCGCCACAGCUUCAUCCAUCCCAGAAAUAACUUGUUGGGCGUUAUCGCUCCUCUGGUCGUCUGCCCAACGUUAAUUCCGAAUUCACAUCUCUGACACGUCACACGUUUGCGGCAUCGAAAAAGGAAGAAUUCCGAAUUCAUAAAAGACACAUUGUUGCAACUGUGGUCAAGACUGAAAGUGCGAUGGCAUCUCAAAAAAAAAAUGAGCAAUGGAAAUAUAAAGCGUAACAUGUUCCCCCCGCAAAAAAAAAAGCUUAACAUGUUCAAGAUGAGACUCAAUAACAGUGCACCGUCCGGUUGUUGUUCAUCUCGACGAGUCGGGUCGCACCAAAAGACCCUUCAGCGCUGUUCCAGCACAGCUGCACAGGUACCCCAUCCAAUUCAACCCUGCUGCUCGGGCCUUUUGGUCCCAUCACGAGCUCUAUACUGCAUCGCCAUGCCACUAGACCAGGGCAUUGCUUUGUCCGGGCUCCGGCUUGCGACCUCACGAAAGAGGGGAACUGGCUCGGUUGCUGAUUCGCCAGUGCUUUCGGCUUCGGGCUUCGUCUAGAUUCACUCCAUGUCUCCAUGUGAGCCCAUGCUUCAUCUUUAGCUCGUUUCGGCAGCAGGAAAAGAGAACUCGGCCUCGUCCUCGAUCUCGAGACUAGCACGAAAGCACUGGAAUCAUAAAUUAUUUAUGCUCAAGCGGAGCGGACACACGUAUGCCCUUCGUCCCAUGCGUGGUUCCUGAAAAGCAUUCAGGGAAUCAUGUCGCUCGUACGCCCUCUGCAAAGGAAGAGAUUCUCGCGUGUGGACUUUGAUCCAUGCACCUAGGCACUGCUACCUAGCCAUGAAUGCAUGGUGCGUCAGAGUAACAGAGAGAGCGUAUAUGACAGUAGUGAAGAGUUGUUUUCCUUUUCUUCGAAGAGUCACAUGCGUUAGAAGUGCGUGAGAAUCUCUUCUACCCGAAUGAAGAAUCACUGUCUCGCAACAAAAAAAGAAAAAGAAUGAAGAAUCACACCACUGGCAAGGACGAACAGGGGGCGUGUUCAUACCUGGGGUGGGGAAAACUGUUUGGAAGCAUAUGUGUGCACACAGGCUCUCAGUGGCACACGAUGACUGCUAAUCGAUGUAACAAAUGGAUUUAGCCAAUCUCAGCCAUCGUAACAAAUGGAGUACAUUCCCAGGCCUGUGCAUACGGUAACAUGACGUUGUCAUCUUACCUGGUUCAUUGUGAGAUUAUUUUUACCAAAAGGGAAGUAAAAUGGAAGUGCUUGCUAUAUAGAGUAAUUUUAAACACUUGUACGGAGAAAGUGAUUGCUAGUCUCAUGAUCAUGUGGAGCGAGGGCAUCCUUAUCGAAACCGCCAGCUAUUGACAAAGCACCUCGUUUCGGCACGCCAAUGUGAAACAUUACGAAAGCAAAGCUAAGCUAGAUGAGGGGUGAAUUGCAGAAUGGGUGAAAAUAUGCGCAGGCACGUAAAUAUCAGAGCAAUUAUUGGGUCCUGAGUCCUGACUAUGUUGUCCGUACCCUGUUAACAUUACAUGUAGUUCAGUAUCUUUGUCUAGCUACUACCUAGCUCUCACUACGGUUCAGCAUAUGUUCGUUACAAACAUCCCUACACCGAGGUAUUUAUUGAAAGUACACUAGCUAAAUAACGGUGUUAUGCUUCGAGAUAACUUGGUCAGCAUUUGUUUGUGUGUACAGAAUUAGCUAGCAGCGACCAAUCACAGAUAGGACGACUUCACCGACGGGGACAAUUCUCUUAGACGUCAGAUUAGUGCGUCGUCCAAUAUGAUUUUUAAACUACUCCAUUAUUAGUACUAGCAUUUCUCUUCAUGUGCCGACCAAUUUAAACGCCGAUUCCACCUUCGAGUGUUUUCGGUGUCAGCAUCAUUAAAGACGAGAAUUGUUAGCGUCUCGAUUUCUGGGGGGCAGAGCAAUCUCUCCCUGUUUUCCUGCAAGCAUGGCGGAGGGAAGAAGACAAUUGUCUCCAGCCUUUCAGAAAGAGGCGAUCAGACUGAGGUGAGAGCUUUCGCCACACACUUGUGGGCAGCACCGUCCGUUCGUGACAGUAGUAUUCCAUGUGUCUUGCUCCGAUGAAUUUACAGCAGAUUCAUUGCAAAAUCUGGAGAUAUAUAGCAGUAAUGCCACUUGCAUAGUCAAAUGGGUGAGAUUUUGAUUUAGACACAAGUAAAUUGGUCGUUACAAUUAUUGCAUCUAUCUAGUAUACCAAAGGCAAAAACAAAAUGAUGUCCGAAGUGAACCAUCAUCCAUGUCAUCUGAAUUAUUUUGGCAUUUGGAUCAUAUAUUUACGGUGAAUAUUCAAUAAGAAAAUGAUAUUUGACGGUACAACAAUGAAACAUUGAAGUGGUUUAAGGCUCAUGUGGGUCCGAUAUGUAUUUUUGUUGUUUUAUCCACGAGUCAGAAGAAUAUUCUCUAUACUAUAAUUUUACGGAGUAAGUAGUAAUCGCACCUCCAUUUACGGAGUAAGUAGUACUCGCACCUCCAUUCGCCGUAAUCUAUAAUAUAAUUUUAAAAAUUGCAAUAAACUGGUACUUGCAAAGUUAUAACUCUACAAACGUAUAAGCUACAUUUUUAAUAAUUGUUACUGAAUAACAUAACCUAUGAGUUAUUGACUGCCUAGCGAACCAUACAUUCACUAAUCAAAAUUGCUUCAAAGUAAAAAAAAACUCGCGAUCUAAAUUUAACCCGGAUAUUGAUAUAAUAAUUUCAUAAAACAUUAAUAUCACAUUAUGGUUUAUUAUCACAAAUAAUCUACAAACUAAUAUAAGUUGGCAAAUAACCGAUUGACCAAUUCGGUAUGUGAACUUUAAUUUUUCAUUGUCCCAUGGUUCAAAUCACAUAAGAACCUACAAAUUUUCAUUGACAAAAAGUCUAUCAAUAAGAUUUAGGAAACACAUUUUCCGUGACACUAAAGUGUUGUGUUUGUCUAUCAAUUUUUUUAUUUGGACUGUGUGUAUCAAUGACUUCCUUCGUAUCUUUUUUUUUUCGAGAAAAAACACUAUGAAAAAAAAAGCAUGGCCUAGUAGUUGAUCGCCAGUGCAAGGAUCUAGAGUGUAUCCUUUCAUGAUCUUCUUUAAUUUGUUGCCUUAGAUUUGAAUUUUUCAUAAGAAAUUGAAAUUUAUCAACAACUCUAACUUGUUACUCCGUAUUUCAACCCACGUGAAGCAAUGAUACACUUUUUAGCCUUUUCACAGCUGUUAAAAAAAAGUACUGUUACUACAUAAAGCCAUGAUUAUAAUAAGGAACAGUAUUAGGGCAGGGCGCCUAUGCCCUCACCUAUCAGGCAAUCGUCAUUUCUCUCUGCUAGUCCUGCAUUAUCGUGUGAUCCCGGUCAGGCUUUCACAUGGCCGUACUGUGAAACGCUUGCAUCGAGACGUUAUACUGGAGGACAUGCCUGCAUUGAGCAAUGUAAAUACCACCUGCUCCUCUGGGCCCCCCUACCUUGGCAACAACUAGCUUUUUUUUUUUCGAACACUGGCCACUAGCUAGGCUAGGCUCUCUCGUCUCGAAGGUCUCAGACUACUCCUACACGGUACACCCCCGGCUCCGGCCGGAGUGACCAACGGGGAAGCCUCCCUCUCUCCCCCACAUGCUUAUCCUCUCGCCACAGUACGCCCCAUCACAUGCGCCCGCAAGCAUCCAAGAGUGCCCCGUGUAUAUAAAGAGUGGCAUGGGUUACCAUUUUUCUCACAACCACACUGAUCCAAGCUUGCCAAAGAGUAGGCACUGCAGUGAGGGAGUGAGUGAGAAUGGGUGGCAAAGCCGUUCUCCUGGUGGCCCUCUUGGCCGUGAGCCUGGUGGUCCAGAUCCAGGCGGACAGCGGCUACACCCCGACGCCGGUGACCCCGUCUCCCAAGCCCGAGAAGCCACCCAAGGGCCACAAGCCGCCCCACCACCACCACCACGCCAAGCCUCCGGCUGGCUCCCACAAGCCGGCGCCUCCCACGGCCACUCCUCCCACGCCGGCGUACAAGCCACCCACGGCCACGCCUCCGGCUCCGACGCCACCGAAGUACACUCCGUCCCCGAAGCCACCGACGCCUAAGCCCACACCACCCACGUAUACCCCGACCCCGAAGCCGCCCACUCCCACACCAAAGCCCACGCCGCCAACGUACAAGCCGGCACCCAAGCCCACUCCUCCCACGUAUAAGCCCACACCCAAGCCCUCGCCGCCGACGUACCCGCCGAAGCCAACACCACCCACCUACAAGCCGGCGCCGAAGCCGACUCCCCCGACCUACAAGCCGGCGCCGAAGCCGACACCGCCCACCUACAAGCCCGCGCCGAAGCCGACGCCCCCGACCUACAAGCCGGACCCCAAGCCGACUCCCCCGACGUACAAGCCCGCGCCGAAGCCGGCCCCCAAGCCUACGCCCCCGAACUACAAGCCGGCGCCGAAGCCGACGCCGCCGUCGUACAAGCCGGCCCCGAAGCCCACUCCCCCGGCACCGAAGCCCACGCCGCCGACACCACCAGCCUACAAGCCGGCGCCGAAGCCGAGCCCUCCGACGCCCGCCCCGCCGGCGUACAAGCCUCCGACUCCGACUCCUCCGGCGUACAAGACCCCCACUCCGAGCCCGCCGCCGCCGCC
rnacentral:lncRNA from 1 species